UACAGAGGUGGCAAGCGUUGUUCGGAUUUACUGGGCGUAAAGGGCGCGUAGGCGGCGUGACAAGUCACUUGUGAAAUCUCCGGGCUUAACUCGGAACGGUCAAGUGAUACUGUCGUGCUAGAGUACAGAAGGGGCAACUGGAAUUCCCGGUGUAGCGGUGGAAUGCGUAGAGAUCGGGAAGAACAUCGGUGGCGAAGGCGGCCUGCUGGGCUGUUGCUGACGCUGAGGCGCGACAGCGUGGGGAGCAAACAGG
rnacentral:rRNA from 1 species